rnacentral:rRNA from 1 species
UACGUAGGGUCCGAGCGUUGUCCGGAAUUAUUGGGCGUAAAGGGCGCGUAGGCGGCUUUGCAAGUGACGGGUGAAAUCCCUCGGCUUAACCGAGGAACUGCCUGUCAAACUGCAUGGCUUGAGACCGGGAGAGGUGAGUGGAAUUCCCAGUGUAGCGGUGAAAUGCGUAGAUAUUGGGAGGAACACCAGUGGCGAAGGCGGCUCACUGGACCGGUACUGACGCUGAGGCGCGAAAGCGUGGGGAGCAAACGGG